UACGGGGGGGGCAAGCGUUGUUCGGAAUCACUGGGCGUAAAGCGUCUGCAGGUGGUUUCCUAAGUCCACUGUUAAACCUUGAGGCUCAACCUCAAAUCUGCAUUGGAAACUAGGAGACUUGAGUAUAGUAGGGGUAGAGGGAAUUUCCAGUGGAGCGGUGAAAUGCGUAGAUAUUGGAAAGAACACCGAUGGCGAAGGCACUCUACUGGGCUAUUACUGACACUCAGAGACGAAAGCUAGGGGAGCAAAUGGG
rnacentral:rRNA from 1 species